rnacentral:rRNA from 1 species
GAUGAACGCUGGCGGCGUGCCUAAUACAUGCAAGUCGAACGCAUAGCGAAAGGUGCUUGCACCUUUCAAGUGAGUGGCGAACGGGUGAGUAACACGUGGACAACCUGCCUCAAGGCUGGGGAUAACAUUUGGAAACAGAUGCUAAUACCGAAUAAAACUUAGUGUCGCAUGACACAAAGUUAAAAGGCGCUUCGGCGUCACCUAGAGAUGGAUCCGCGGUGCAUUAGUUAGUUGGUGGGGUAAAGGCCUACCAAGACAAUGAUGCAUAGCCGAGUUGAGAGACUGAUCGGCCACAUUGGGACUGAGACACGGCCCAAACUCCUACGGGAGGCUGCAGUAGGGAAUCUUCCACAAUGGGCGAAAGCCUGAUGGAGCAACGCCGCGUGUGUGAUGAAGGCUUUCGGGUCGUAAAGCACUGUUGUAUGGGAAGAACAGCUAGAAUAGGAAAUGAUUUUAGUUUGACGGUACCAAACCAGAAAGGGACGGCUAAAUACGUG